AUCGUGUCAAACACAAACCUUACAUAAAGUCUAGAGAUGCUGAUGGUCGUCCAGAUGAAGAAGUUGCUGAUGAGUACUGGGCAAAUCACAUUGCUCGUAAUGAUUCUAUAAUUGUUGAUGUGUGCCAAGGGCAAUACAAGUCAACGUUUGCCCAAUGUGCAAUAAAGUCUCUGUCACAUUUGAUCCCUUCAUGUACCUCUCUUUGCCACUCCAAUCCACCACUACCCGGUCUAUUACAGUGACAGUUUUUUCUUGUGAUGGAAGCACCCUGCCGUUUGCUUGCACAGUGACUGUUCCAAAGCAGGGACGGUGUAGAGANAUCCAUGCCCUUAGCAAUUCUUGUUCCUUAAAGAGCAAUGAAGAGCUUAAACUUGCAGAGGUACGGAACCAUUUAUUUCAAAGGUUUCUAGAUGACCCUUUGAUAUCUUUAUCCAUGAUCAAAGAUGAU
rnacentral:misc_RNA from 1 species